AUGAAUGAUCAUGUAAAAAGAAUUAUACUAAAUGUUGAAAUCCUCAUAUAUGCAAGGCAUAACAAACAGAUAUGUGGUGAUCUGGGUGGCAUAACAAACAGAUACGUCCACUUCCUCAUGGAGCUCGUCCAGAACGCUGAAGACAAUGACUACCCUGAUGGAGUAGCACCUUCAUUGGAGUUUCUAGUAACAUCAACUGACAUCACCAGAUCUGGUGCAUCGUCAACUUUACUCAUUUUCAACAAUGAGAAGGGCUUCUCUCCAUCCAAUAUUCAGUCUAUUUGUGGUGUGGGCAAAUCAACGAAAAAAGGAAACAGGGACAAGGGGUACAUUGGAGAGAAAGGUAUUGGAUUCAAAAGUGUGUUCCUGAUAUCAAGCCAGCCCCAUAUAUUCAGUAAUGGGUAUCAAAUCAAGUUUAAUGAGAUGCCAUGUCCAGAAUGCAAUAUUGGAUACAUUGUCCCGGAGUGGGUUGAAUCCAGGCCUAGCCUUUCAGAUAUCAAACAGACAUAUGGGUCUACCAGAGACCUUCCAACAACCUGUAUCGUCCUGCCUUUGAAGGAUGAGAAGGUCACUGCGGUGAAGCAGCAGCUGUCAAGCUUGCAUCCAGAAAUGCUACUGUUUCUGUCAAAGAUCAGGCGGCUUUCUGUCCGUGAAGAUAACGGCAACACUAGAGGCAGCACUGUUAGUGAGAUUGCAAUAUCGAGUGAGAAGAACUUUGAAGUGAGGAAGAACAUGCACGCGGAGUCUUACACGGUCUUUUUAUCUGCUCAAGAGAAUGAGAGUGAAGCAGAGUGCGGGUACCAUAUGUGGAGGCAGAGGUUCCUUGUCAAAGCAGAGAACAGGGUGGACAAGCGUACUGAAAUCGAUGAGUGGGUCAUCACCCUAGCCUUCCCUCUUAAGGAGCGACUAUCUCGUGGGAAGCAGCUAUCCCCUGGCGUAUAUGCUUUCCUUCCCACGGAGAUGGUAACGAACUUCCCCUUCAUCAUUCAGGCUGACUUCCUCCUUGCAUCGUCAAGAGAGGCGAUACUAUUCGAUAGUCCAUGGAACAAGGGAAUUCUGGAGUGUAUCCCAAGUGCAUUCAUGAAUGCCUUUGUAGCACUUGUCAAGUCCAGAACAGAUGCACCAGCAAUGACUAUUCCGUCGAUGUUCCAUUACCUGCCAGUCAGUCCUUCGCUGAUCCCUUUACUUGAGCCUGUUAGGUCUGGCAUCAAAGAGAAGGUUCUCGUUGAGGAUAUAGUUCCAUGUGAGUCUCACGCUCCACAGAAGAUGUUUUGCAAGCCUUGCGAGGUUGCGCGGCUCAAACCAGCAUUUUGGGAUAUCCUUGUCAAGGCGAGAGAAUCUGGAGUGGACCUUAAGAACCUGUCAACCCAUGGAACCUACAUUCUCAGCUCUCAUUUCGACAAGAGUGCAUACAACAGUGUUCUUACAUUUCUGGAUGUCAAAAGUGUGAGCCAUGAAUGGUAUGCAAAAUGCAUCGAGGGGUCUAAUCUUGUCAGCAAUGUAGAUGAACAGCUUUAUCUUGAACUUGUAUCUUUUGUCGCAGACAGUUGGCAAAGCUUUUCCAGUACAAAGAUGAUGCAAAUUCCUCUGCUGAAGUAUGUUGACAGGAACAAAAAUGUAUCUGUCUGGAGCAUAUCUAGAGCUAGUCAGUGGAGUGAUAGACUGUGUAUUGCAUCUGAUCGGAAGUGGAUGUCAUGGCUUAUCAGCUGGAACCAGGAGUUUCCAUCUUCUAACCGGUUUUUUGUGCCUCCCAGUACACAAACAGCUCUGCAAGGUUUCGCGCAGAAGGAAAAAGUGACAUACUGGCUUCAGAGCCAUGCAAAAGUGGAGAUUGUAUCUGUAUACACUUACGGGGAUAUUGUGGUCAAGUCCUUGAACUGUGAUCGAAGGCCUGCCAUCGCCUUUUCUCACUUUCUGUAUCAUUCAUCCAAUAAGAACUACAUGGAGAGCUAUCAGUUAGCAGACCUGUGUCGUACCAUGCCGGUAAUUGACAACUAUGGCAAUGCAGUUACGGAAAGACAAAGCAUUCUAGUUCCUGCAAAUGGUAGCAAAUGGGUUGGACUGAUGGGCACAAACCCAUGGAGGAAUGAGAAAUACAUCGAACUGUCAGCAGAUUACAAGUCAGCAGGUCAUUUCGCCGGGUACUACACACCGGCAGAUUGGAUCUUGGAUUUUCUCAAGACAAAGAUGCAGGCCUCGGAUGUGCCGUUCAUACACCCUCCAAAUGCAAGUUUCCCGACAGUCUCAUCACCUCUGACUGACAAUGCAAUCUUGCUACUGCAAUGGAUAAGGAAUUUGAAGGCAAAAGGUGUACAACUACCAGCUAGUUUCUUGGCUUGUGUGAAACAAGGAAGUUGGCUGAAGACAUCAGUCGGAUACAAGCCCCCGGCUGAAUCAUUUAUGUCCAGUUCCGAGUGGGGUAAUCUCUUGCAAAAUGGGUCUUCCUGUGUUGAUAUACCAAUGAUCGAUCAACAGUUCUAUCAAUACAAAAUGAAUGCAUAUAGGGAGGAACUCAAGGUGAUCGGGGUAAGAUUUGAAUUUGGGGAGGCAUCAGCUUACAUCGGCAGACGGCUCAUGUCGAUGGCGGCAAGCAAUAUGCUGACCAGACAGCAUGUAUAUGAGCUGCUUCGGCUGAUUCGGUUUCUUCAACAGAAGGUUCUGUCACCAAGUGAACUAGUCAACAGCGUGAAAGAUGGACAAUGGAUGAAGAGUACUCUGGGCUACAGGUCCCCUUCUUGCUGUAUCAUAUAUGAUUCAGACUGGGCAGUUGCAUCUUGUAUCAGUACCCAGCCAUUCCUUGAUGUUGGAUUCUAUGGCGAGUCCAUCCUUGACUACAAACAAGAGCUGAAGUUGCUUGGUGUUCAAGUUGGGUUUGAAAACAGUGAAAAGACUUACAAGCUUAUAAUUGAUAAUUUCAAGUUCAGUUCUUCAUCUAUCACUUCUGAUGCUACUGCACUAAUCCUCAAGUGCAUCCGGUAUGCUAGCCCAUGUGAUGAUUUCUUGAGGAAGCUCAGAGAUUUGAAAUGGUUGAAGACCAAUGUGGGAUUCCGUGCUCCUAGUGAAUCUUUUCUUCUAGAUCCAGAAUGGGAGUGCCUGGUAAAGGUGUUCGAUGGAGUUCCUGUAGUUGAUUCUGGAUUUUAUGGCAGUAAGAUAAGCCCGUACAAAGAAGAGUUGAAGAAGACAGGGUUGAUCACAGGAUUUGACCAGGCAUCAAAGGCUAUAGCAAACAUUUUCAAGCAGAUGGAGAAGUCAUCGCUUACAAAGGCGAAUGUCCUGGCUCUGCUAGCAUGUUAUGGGCAGCUGAGAACACACAACCCAAAUCCUGUUGAUCUUUUCAACUCCAUGCGAAAUGAGAAAUGGGUGUGCACAUCACUGGGAUUUAGGUCACCUUCGGAUGCAAUCUUAUUUGACGAAAGUUGGCAGUCUCUGUCACCCAUUGCAAAAUUACCUUUCAUCAAUGAUGGUGACUCUAAUGGUGGUUUAGGCAAAGAGAUACAUGGUUACAAGGCUGAGCUGAAAGAACUAGGUGUUACAACAGAAGUGAAAGCCCAUGGUGCUAGGUUUGUCAUCGAUGGUCUCAAGAUUCCUGCAGACACUGCAGAUAUUUCUGCAGCCACCGUGUUGUCGUUGCUUGGGUCUGUUAAGAGCUGCUUGGCCUGUAUGGCAACAUUGCCCAAGGAAUUUAUGAAGGAAAUCACUAGCUGCAAGUGGUUGAAGACAACACUUGGAUACCAAUCUCCUGAUGGAUGCAUACUCUUUGAUCCCAAGCAGUCUUCCAUCUGCAUAACAGAUGGCCCUUUCAUCGAUGAAUCUUUCUAUGGUUCAGAGAUCGCCUCAUUCAAGGAUGCACUGGCGGCAAUCGGAGUAACUGUGGAUGUUAGAUGUGGGCAUGGCCUUGUUGCUCAGCAUCUGAGGAGCCACAAAGAAACUGCUACCAUUUCCAGGAUCUACUUGUACCUCAAGGAGUGCAGCUGGGAGCCUGAGAAGAAGAACAAAGAGGGCACUGACUGGAUUUGGAUACGAAAUAAAAGGGGAAGUGGAGAAUGGGUGAGCCCGCUGAGCUGUGUUCUUCAUGAUCAGAACAACCUCUUCAGCCAGCAGCUGCAUGUCCUAGACAGAUACUAUGAUGACAGGAAGCUGCUGGAGUUCUUCUCAUCUGUUUUCAGCGUGAGGCAUGGCCCUGAUGCCGAAGACCACUGUAAGCUCUGGAGCGCAUGGGAGAGCUCUGGCGGUGAGAUAUCCGUAACCAAUUGCUCUGCUUUCUGGCAAUUCAUGGCAAGGAACUGGAGCGAGAGCAUGGAGAGGCUUUUCUCUGGCUGCGUGAAGGUCCCAGUUUGCACUGAUGGGAAGAUCAUCUUAUCGCAGAAGGAGGACGUGUUCAUUCCUGACGAUCUGCUGCUUAAGGAUCUGUUCGACAAGCUUCCUCGACAAUCCAUUUUUAUCUGGUACCCUCCUUCCGUCUCUCGAGCAAGGCUCAACAACAUAUAUGGCAGCAUCGGUGUUCAGGCAGUAUCCAAAGCUGUCAAGAAGAGCGAUUCUUUUGUCACCGAUGGCGGUUGCAAAACGGUUGCUGACCAGCGUGAGGUGAUCAGUGCCGGUCUGCUCCAGAUAGUCCUUGCCUUCCUUGCUGAUCCUGCUCUGGACAUUUCCUCCAAAGAGCGGCACGCGAUGGUCUCAUCUCUGCUGAAUGUGAGCGUCCUGGAGACCAAGGAGCCGAUCAUGGUGGGGUACCGCGUGAAGCUGUCUUCCGGAGAGGCUGUGGACGUGGAGGCCAGCCGGAUAAUCAGGUGGGAGAGGGAGAGCUCAAAGCUGUAUGUUCAGCAAAGCAAUGGUGCUGGUGCUGCAGCUGGUUACAAAGAGAAGAUCGAGUUUGCGACGAACUUUGCUGACGAGAUAGCCCGAGGACUGCUGUUUGAGACGCCAGACCGCAUCCCUUCGCUUGCUGAACUCGUGAAGGUCGGCAGCCUGGUGGACUUCCAGGACGAUGCUGUCAAGUACCUGCUGAAGUCGAAGAAUCUGCAGCUGUUCCCUGAAGACGAGGCAUUCCUGAACGCUGCAUCACUAGGUCUGUCCCUCCCUGACAAACUCAGAGAGUUCAUCUCACUAUAG
rnacentral:rRNA from 1 species